rnacentral:rRNA from 1 species
AGGGUUCGAUUAUGGCUCAGAACGAACGCUGGCGGCAGGCCUAACACAUGCAAGUCGAACGAGAAGCUUCUUCGGAAGUGGACAGUGGCAGACGGGUGAGUAACGCGUGGGGAUCUGCCCAGAGGUUCGGGACAACCAUUGGAAACGAUGGCUAAUACCGGAUAAGCCCGCAAGGGGAAAGAUUUAUCGCCUUUGGAUGAACCCGCGUAAGAUUAGCUAGUUGGUGAGGUAAUGGCUCACCAAGGCGACGAUCUUUAGCUGGUCUGAGAGGAUGAUCAGCCACAUUGGGACUGAGACACGGCCCAGACUCCUACGGGAGGCAGCAGUGGGGAAUAUUGCGCAAUGGGGGAAACCCUGACGCAGCCAUGCCGCGUGAGUGACGAAGGCCUUAGGGUUGUAAAGCUCUUUCGCUAGGGAAGAA